AUUGAACGCUGGCGGCAUGCCUUACACAUGCAAGUCGAACGGUAACGGGCCUUCGGGUGCCGACGAGUGGCGAACGGGUGAGUAAUGUAUCGGAACGUACCUUUCAGUGGGGGAUAACGUAGCGAAAGUUACGCUAAUACCGCCUAUUCUGUGAGCAGGAAAGCAGGGGAUCGCAAGACCUUGCGCUGAUUGAGCGGCCGAUAUCAGAUUAGCUAGUUGGUGAGGUAACGGCUCACCAAGGCGACGAUCGGUAGCCGGCCUGAGAGGGGGAUCGGCCACACCGGAACUGAGACACGGUCCGGACUCCUACGGGAGGCAGCAGUGGGGAAUCUUACGCAAUGGGCGAAAGCCUGACGCAGCAACGCCGCGUGGAGGAUGAAGGCCCUUGGGUUGUAAACUCCUGUCGGCUGGGAAGAAAUCGUGCGGGGCUCAUACCUCCGCGCGUUGACUGUACCAGCAAAGGAAGCCCCGGCUAACUCUGUGCCAGCAGCCGCGGUAACAC
rnacentral:rRNA from 1 species